rnacentral:misc_RNA from 1 species
GAUGUGUACAAGUCAUCUAGUAUUGUUUUUUUUUUUACAUAUAUUUUGUUAUACUUUUAUUUCUUGAGGAACCGGUGGGAAUAUCUUUGGUGAAAUUCUCUAUAGCAGUGCUCACGACCUUUAACUGUGCUAGAGUUUCUUUUACAUUUACCCAUUAAUGCUUAUUAGCACUAUCUGACCAAAAGCUUGAACUAUGUAUCCCUAAAGUUUGAGACUGCUUACUGGACUUAUCAAAUAGUAAACCUCUACAGCAAAGGCUACAUAGGUCCGACACAUUCAUCUACAUUGGUUAUCAAUUUUGCAUACAUCUUGUGACGACCACACCUGCAUAUGCACAAAAAAUAUAAAUUAGUAUCUAUUUUACAACCUUGAACAUCCAUGUAUAAACUGGCCACUCAUUUAUAAAUCUUUAGUAGCAAGAAUAAUUGUAGAAAUCAUUUUUUCAAAUAGAGAAGGAUUCAUCUUCCCCUCUGAAAUUCUCUUUUAAAGAAAUCAUAUUUCAUGGAUCAGUAUUACAAGGUACAUCUUUUCUGAGCAAAAAUCAACAAAGAAAUUUGAAGGACAUAAGGUGCAAUUAUCUGCCCAAAUGUUCCAAUACAUUUGUCUAAUAUAUCAGUCAUUAUACAUGUAACCGAUCUCCUCAUAUCACCAAUACAAAAGUUCAUUCUUUUAUGUUUAUAAUGAUAUUUCCAAUGUCGAUAGAAAAUAGAUUUUUUAAUGGUGUUUGAAGAAUUCAUAUUUUUCAUUUAAUAAUUGGUGUGUGGAGGAUAUGGAAUUUUCAUACUUGGCUUGAUCCUAGCUAUAUACAUGUACAACACAUCUCCAAAGGCAGUUCUUUUAUUUACAAUUAUAUAUACAUGUAUUUAUAUAUCCCUGAGAGAAAUAAAAUUUUCAUUUUAUUUU